UACGUAGGGCCCAAGCGUUGUUCGGAUUUACUGGGCGUAAAGGGCGCGUAGGCGGCGUGGUAAGUCACUUGUGAAAUCUCUGAGCUUAACUCAGAACGGUCAAGUGAUACUGCUGUGCUAGAGUGCGGAAGGGGCAAUCGGAAUUCUUGGUGUAGCGGUGAAAUGCGUAGAUAUCAAGAGGAACACCUGAGGUGAAGACGGGUUGCUGGGCCGACACUGACGCUGAUGCGCGAAAGCCAGGGGAGCAAACGGG
rnacentral:rRNA from 1 species